rnacentral:rRNA from 1 species
UACGAAGGGGGCUAGCGUUGUUCGGAAUCACUGGGCGUAAAGGGCGCGUAGGCGGCCGAUCAAGUCGGGGGUGAAAGCCUGUGGCUCAACCACAGAAUUGCCUUCGAUACUGUUUGGCUUGAGACCGGAAGAGGUUAGUGGAACUGCGAGUGUAGAGGUGAAAUUCGUAGAUAUUCGCAAGAACACCAGUGGCGAAGGCGGCUGACUGGUCCGGUUCUGACGCUGAGGCGGCG